GUUGUGCUCGACGAGAAAUUCUACACUGUCACACUUGCACCACGUCAUCAAUAACAAGCCAAUCACAUUCAUUCUUUUCAAACAAAAGUACAAUAAAAAUACUUUUUUACAAUCAUGAUGGGACAUAUAUUCUUAAAAGGAUUAAUUUGAUUGGUUUGUUACGCCACGUCACUAAUAUACCUGUUGCAUUCUAGAAUUUUUCGUGCUCGACUGUAUUUGUCAGUUCGG
rnacentral:lncRNA from 1 species